GUGCUUACUUCGGCAGCUCAUAUAUUAAAAUUAGAACGAUACAGAGAAAAUUAGAAUGGCCUCUGCACAAGGAAGAUGUGCAAAUUUGUGAAGCGUUCCAUAUUUUG
ensembl:snRNA U6 U6 spliceosomal RNA